AUGGAAGAGACAGCCUGGAGAGCAGGCAGUCAGAGGGUGUGGGAGAGACAGCCCAGAGUUCAGAGCAGGGAGCACCAGUCCACAGGCUGGGAGCCAGGAGGAGUGUGGGGAUGGAAUGCUAAGGAAGAGGUGGGGAAAGACGAGCUAGACCUCUGUAGAAACCAGACAUGCAGUGAAGGCAUGAGGAAAACUCCAGUGGAUUUGGUCACCAUCUGCUAUGACAUGUCGGUGCAGGUGAGCAAGACUAUGUGCUGAGGGACAGAAUGGGAGGGUUGCCAUCCAGAGAAACCCAGGGACAAGCUCGUGGACCAGACCCAUUUAUUACCACUCUUCAUUAACAUCAAGAAGCAGGACCCAGAAGAUGCAUCAGUGGCAGUCUAGAACGUAAGACUGGAGGAUUCCUGUAACAGGCACUGUUGUGUUGUCUGCAGUUAGAACCUCAAGAACAGAAUGUCAGAGUGAGGGGAGCAGGGCAGGAACGGGCUGAUAGAAAUACAGAGUACAAUUCCAUGUCUGCAAAGGUCAAAGUUGUGUAAACUAUACAAUCUAGAAUGGAGAGUACACAUAUUUAUAAGACAACUUUCAAGGAAGGCAAAGGGAAGGUUAAAGACAGACAGCUCAGGAUCCCAGGAUCCUGGGAGGAGACAAAGAGUGGGUGGAAUGGUGGUGGAGGGGACUCAGGGGUCCUCACCAAGAAUCACCCCAUGCUUUCUCUCCUGCCAGGUGGUCCUCCCAGCGUUCAAUAUACCACAAUCAUCUCUGACCUUUAAAAUAUCAUUUUUGUUUCUAAUCAAAAUUUACUCAAAACAAUGAAAAAUAAGACACAUGUGCCUGGGUCUCUGCAAACAACUUUCCCCACCUCUUUCCAUCCUUUGUCUUUGCCUACCCACUUGGGACAGGAUCAAACCAGCUGGUAUGGAAGCAUGAGUCUCUUGCAUUAUCCUCCAAUAAAAUGUGUUUAUUUUUAAUUAUUUUAAUCA
rnacentral:lncRNA from 12 species